rnacentral:lncRNA from 1 species
AGUACCUGUUUGGUUCUGCGUUUGACACUGCUAAACGCGAGUUUGGAAGGUGAAAACGCAAUUCAGAAAUUUGAAAAUAUGUUUGGGUUUCAUUUUUAAAAUCGAUUCAACCAAGCAAACGCGAUUUUACUGGAAGCUGCUAUUCCUAACUUCUGCGUCUAAGUGAAAUCGAUUCUCCCACAAAUCAAUUUGAAUUAUCUGUUUUAUCGUUUCAACAACAUGACAUGACCAUAUGCCUUCUUUACGGUUGUUUAUGGACUCCUGUGUUAAGUUUCCAACUGUGUAAAACUCCCUUAGGCUAGAGAUGAAGGAGAAAU